GAUGAACGCUGGCGGCGUGCCUAAUACAUGCAAGUCGAGCGAACAGACGAGGAGCUUGCUCCUCUGACGUUAGCGGCGGACGGGUGAGUAACACGUGGAUAACCUACCUAUAAGACUGGGAUAACUUCGGGAAACCGGAGCUAAUACCGGAUAAUAUAUUGAACCGCAUGGUUCAAUAGUGAAAGACGGUUUUGCUGUCACUUAUAGAUGGAUCCGCGCCGCAUUAGCUAGUUGGUAAGGUAACGGCUUACCAAGGCAACGAUGCGUAGCCGACCUGAGAGGGUGAUCGGCCACCCUGGAACUGAGACACGGUCCAGACUCCUACGGGAGGCAGCAGUAGGGAAUCUUCCGCAAUGGGCGAAAGCUUGACGGAGCAACGCCGCGUGAGUGAUGAAGGUCUUCGGAUCGUAAAACUCUGUUAUUAGGGAAGAACAAAUGUGUAAGUAACUAUGCACGUCUUGACGGUACCUAAGCAGAAAGCCACGGCUAACUACGU
rnacentral:rRNA from 1 species